rnacentral:rRNA from 1 species
AUUGAACGCUGGCGGCAGGCCUAACACAUGCAAGUCGAGCGAGCGGCGGACGGGUGUGUAAUGUCUGGGAAACUGCCUGAUGGAGGGGGAUAACUACUGGAAACGGUAGCUAAUACCGCAUACCAUCAGCUGUGCCCAGCUGGGAUUAGCUAGUAGGUGGGGUAAUGGCUCACCUAGGCGACGAUCCCUAGCUGGUCGGAGAGGAUGACCAGCCACACUGGAACUGAGACACGGUCCAGACUCCUAAGGGAGGCAGCAGUGGGGAAUAUUGCACAAUGGGCGCAAGUCUGAUGAAGCCAUGCCGCGUGUGUGAAGAAGGCCUUCGGGUUGUAAAGCACUUUCAGCGAGGAGGCGGUACUCGCAGAGGAAGCACCGGCUAACUCCGUGCCAGCAGCCGCGGUAAUAC